GAUCCUGGCUCAGGAUGAACGCUAGCGACAGGCUUAACACAUGCAAGUCGAGGGGCAGUCACGGGAGUAGCAAUACAACUGGUGGCGACCGGCGCACGGGUGAGUAACGCGUAUGCAACCUACCUAUCAGACGGGGAAUAACCCGGCGAAAGUCGGACUAAUACCGCAUAAAACAGGGGCACCGCAUGGUGAUAUUUGUUAAAGAAAUUCGCUGAUAGAUGGGCAUGCGUUCCAUUAGGUAGUUGGUGAGGUAACGGCCCACCAAGCCGACGAUGGAUAGGGGAACUGAGAGGUUGGUCCCCCACACUGGUACUGAGACACGGACCAGACUCCUACGGGAGGCAGCAGUGAGGAAUAUUGGUCAAUGGGCGGGAGCCUGAACCAGCCAAGUCGCGUGAAGGAAGAAGGAUCUAUGGUUCGUAAACUUCUUUUGCAGGGGAAUAAAGUGCAGGACGUGUCCUGUUUUGUAUGUACCCUGAGAAUAAGGAUCGGCUAACUCCGUGCCAGCCGCCGC
rnacentral:rRNA from 1 species